UCCUCGAUAGUAUAGUGGUCAGUAUCCCCGCCUGUCACGCGGGAGACCGGGGUUCAAUUCACCGUCGGGGAG
rnacentral:tRNA from 1 species